CGGGCUUAACCUGGGAAUGGCAUCUAAGACUGGUCAGCUAGAGUCUUGUAGAGGGGGGUAGAAUUCCAUGUGUAGCGGUGAAAUGCGUAGAGAUGUGGAGGAAUACCGGUGGCGAAGGCGGCCCCCUGGACAAAGACUGACGCUCAGGUGCGAAAGCGUGGGGAGCAAACAGGAUUAGAUACCCUGGUAGUCCACGCUGUAAACGAUGUCGAUUUGAAGGUUGUUCCCUUGAGGAGUGGCUUUCGGAGCUAACGCGUUAAAUCGACCGCCUGGGGAGUACGGCCGCAAGGUUAAAACUCAAAUGAAUUGACGGGGGCCCGCACAAGCGGUGGAGCAUGUGGUUUAAUUCGAUGCAACGCGAAGAACCUUAC
rnacentral:rRNA from 1 species